CAGCAGCCGCGGGAAUACAGAGGGUGCGAGCGUUAAUCGGAUUUACUGGGCGUAAAGCGUGCGUAGGCGGCUUUUUAAGUCGGAUGUGAAAUCCCUGAGCUUAACUUAGGAAUUGCAUUCGAUACUGGGAAGCUAGAGUAUGGGAGAGGAUGGUAGAAUUCCAGGUGUAGCGGUGAAAUGCGUAGAGAUCUGGAGGAAUACCGAUGGCGAAGGCAGCCAUCUGGCCUAAUACUGACGCUGAGGUACGAAAGCAUGGGGAGCAAACAGGAUUAGAGACCCCUGUAGUCCCUGUCUCUUUACC
rnacentral:rRNA from 1 species